AUACGGGGGGUGCAAGCGUUAAUCGGAAUUACUGGGCGUAAAGCGCGCGUAGGCGGUUUGGUCAGUCGGAUGUGAAAGCCCCAGGCUCAACCCGGGAAUGGCAUUCGAUACUGCCUGACUAGAGUAUGGUAGAGGGAAGUGGAAUUUCCGGUGUAGCGGUGAAAUGCGUAGAUAUCGGAAGGAACACCAGUAGCGAAGGCGACUUCCUGGGCCAAUACUGACGCUAAGGUGCGAAAGCGUGGGGAGCAAACAGGAUUAGAAACCCCGGUAGUCC
rnacentral:rRNA from 1 species